rnacentral:rRNA from 1 species
GAUGAACGCUGGCGGCGUGCCUAAUACAUGCAAGUCGAGCGAACGGACGAGAAGCUUGCUUCUCUGAUGUUAGCGGCGGACGGGUGAGUAACACGUGGAUAACCUACCUAUAAGACUGGGAUAACUUCGGGAAACCGUAGCUAAUACCGGAUAAUAUUUUGAACCGCAUGGUUCAAAAGUGAAAGACGGUCUUGCUGUCACUUAUAGAUGGAUCCGCGCUGCAUUAGCUAGUUGGUAAGGUAACGGCUUACCAAGGCAACGAUGCAUAGCCGACCUGAGAGGGUGAUCGGCCACACUGGAACUGAGACACGGUCCAGACUCCUACGGGAGGCAGCAGUAGGGAAUCUUCCGCAAUGGGCGAAAGCCUGACGGAGCAACGCCGCGUGAGUGAUGAAGGUCUUCGGAUCGUAAAACUCUGUUAUUAGGGAAUAACAUAUGUGUAAGUAACUGUGCACAUCUUGACGGUACCUAAUCAGAAAGCCACGGCUAACUACGUG